GUCAGGACCCGCGCCCAGGCUCCAGAGCGGAGUGGGCGCAGCGCAGUAGCCGGGCCGGGACCGGGAGGCGAGGGCCGUGGGCCGCCUUCUGGCUCGCCUCGGACGCUGGGACGCCGGACUGGCCGCCCCCUCCGGGCCUGCUUUCGCCGUCCAGGGCGCGGUCCGCGCACAGCCUGCCAAGCCUCACUUGGCCCCAGCCCGCGCCCCGCGCCCCGGAGAUCCUCGACGCCCCUGCGAACGCGGGGUGGACGCGACGAGCUGGGUCUGUGUCCCGAAGCUUGGCAGAUGAGCGAACUUAGCCAGCACACCCCUGGCCGUGAAGCAGGGAGGUGAAGCGGGGAGAGCAACGAGCCCCACCCGGGUCUUGCCAGCUGGACGUUCUUGUGGGGCAACGUUGAGCAGCGGUUAGGAGUGUCGUGGACUUUGGAUUCAAACAGCCCCAGCUCUUCCGCUUGCUAGCUGGGUGACUUUGGGCAAAUUAACAUCUCGAAAAUCUGUUUCCUCAUUCCUAAAAUGCGGGGCUGAAAGUGAUCAUGCCUGUAAAGCCGUCUCAUAUCCAUGGUUCUAGAGCAUGGUGAGCACCUCAAUUUGAAUAAUCAGUGCCAUGCUUUAGCUACCUCUUGACUCACUCGUUUGUGGCAGGAAAUGUUCCCAAAUUAAUCAGAAGAAUUCAGUGACUAAGAGGAUGUAAUAGUAUAUAACGCAGGCACUGGAAUCAGCUCUGCUGUGUGAUCUUGGACAAGCUGCUUCUGUUUCGUUUCUCUUAUCUGGGGCAAUACCUGUCUGAUAGAGUGACUAUUGGGACGAAAUAGGUUAGUAAAUAUGUACUGUAAGGCAUUAGAACCUUGCCUGGCACAUAGUGUAAGUGCUCAAUAAACGCUAGCUCUUGUUACCUUGGCUUCCCGUU